rnacentral:rRNA from 1 species
UGGGGCUCACCUCUUACCAUUCCGAACAGAGAAGUUAAGCCCAUUAGCGCCGAUGGUACUACAUUUGUGGGAGAGUAGGUCGUUGCCUUUU